rnacentral:rRNA from 1 species
UACGAAGGGUGCUAGCGUUGUCCGGAAUCACUGGGCGUAAAGGGCGCGUAGGCGGCUCAUGAAGGCUGUGGUGAAAGUCCGGGGCUCAACCUCGGAUCGGCCGUGGCGACUCGUGGGCUGGAGCACUGUAGAGGCGGGUGGAAUUCCGGGUGUAGCGGUGGAAUGCGUAGAGAUCCGGAAGAACACCAGUGGCGAAGGCGGCCCGCUGGGCAGUGGCUGACGCUGAGGCGCGACAGCGUGGGGAGCAAACAGG